rnacentral:rRNA from 1 species
GACGAACGCUGGCGGCGUGCUUAACACAUGCAAGUCGAACGGAAAGGCCCUGCUUUUGUGGGGUGCUCGAGUGGCGAACGGGUGAGUAACACGUGAGUAACCUGCCCUUGACUUUGGGAUAACUUCACGAAACUGGGGCUAAUACCGGAUAGGAGCUCCUGCUGCAUGGUGGGGGUUGGAAAGUUUCGGCGGUUGGGGAUGGACUCGCGGCUUAUCAGCUGGUUGGUGGGGUAGUGGCUUACCAAGGCUUCGACGGGUAGCCGGCCUGAGAGGGGGACCGGCCACAUUGGGACUGAGAUACGGCCCAGACUCCUACGGGAGGCAGCAGUGGGGAAUAUUGCACAAUGGGCGGAAGCCUGAUGCAGCAACGCCGCGUGCGGGAUGACGGCCUUCGGGUUGUAAACCGCUUUCGCCUGUGACGAAGCGUGAGUGACGGUAAUGGGUAAAGAAGCACCGGCUAACUACGUG